UGCUCAUGUGUUUCUCUGGUAGGGUUUCUCUGCUGCUAAUGCUUAAGGCAUUUGCUUUGUGCUUUAGAGCGACUGGUGUCCCCAUUCGGUGCACUCUUCGACUUUGUGUGUGUGUGUGUGUGUGCGCGUCACCCGCUCCUGGCUGCAUUGGAAACUAGCUGAGCUGCAAAGGGCUCUCGUCCUCCCUCCUCGUGUGCGUGUGAGUGUACUUGCCGCUACUCACAGUUGCUGAGGGCCAGUGGUGUCCCCCCUCCUUUUGGUGUGCUGUGCUCCCAGGGAAUUGGUUCACGUGUGCUUGGGGUGUUUUUUUUUUUAAAUUUUUUUUAUAUUGUUUUGGGGUACUCCCUUCACUAGCCCCAUCCACCUGACGGCCAGCAACUGAUUAGAUUUCUUUGUUUCUUUUCCUUUGGCCCCCAGUAUGAAUGGAGUUUAAUCUGUUUAUUUUAGACAAUUAUAAUAAAAUGUUUUAAUUUGGAACCACAUCUCAAGCCUCAUGUAGUAAAACGAACUUGUGUGCCUCCGGUGUUAAAGGAAAAUAAUUCUUUGGGCAAAAUUCCCAGGGUGGCAUUGUCGGACAUCUCGUUUCAUUUUGAACUUGUACAAUGUAUAUUGUGCUCGUGUAGAGUCGCGCUGCGACAGGAUGCAACAGUUUUCUCUAGGAUUUUUGUGAGGAAUGGCAAGUUGGAAAUGGGGUGAAGGUUAUUGAAGUUGUUGGGGUCUGAAUCAGGUUUCUUGAGAGUCGGAGUGAGUGCAGCAGAUUUGAGGUGAUAGGGCAGAACCAGAGGUGUGGAAGGAGUGGAUGACGGCGGUGAUCAGAGAUGACAGGCUUUGAGCAGGGGUGUUCAGAGGGGUCAAGUUGACAGGUGGAUGUUUUAGAUUUCCUGAUGAGAUCAGAUAUGUCAGCAGAAGAGGGAAGGUGGAAAUGUGAGAGUGGCUGACAAGAGGGAGCUGGGGGAGCAGGAGGGAGUGAACUGCAGGGGCUGUGAGAGGUCAGUUGCUAGUGGAUAUUAUCAAUUUUUGCAAUGAAAAAGUUCAUGAGUGUAUUACAGUUGUUGGCAGAGUACAAGUUUGAGACACGGAGAGUUGCUAAUUAGAGAACAAGUCCAAGUGUUCCCAUCACCUGCACUGAUGAGACCUGCAUAAUACUGUGAUUUGGCUGUAGUGAUUGGUCCUUUUAGUGAAGAAUGUAGUUUUGAUACAUUUCUUAAUGAAUAGUUAGACCGGUUUUAUUGUAGAGUUGCUCUAGCUAUCAACCUUUAGCUUUGAGGAGAUUGAGUUGGGGUGUAAACCAGGAAGCAGAGUGAGUGAAUGAUACAGUCCGGGUUUUUAAGGGAGCGAAUGAGUUCAACAGAGUAUGGAGACUGUUAUUAUAGUGGGAAACCAUAUAUAUCAUCUGUAGUAGAGGGGAUGCUGAUGGUGGGGAGUGUUUCAAUGCCCGUGGUGAGAGUUGUCAGGUAGAUGUCCUUUAUGUUAUGAAAUGAUGACAUACUGGUUGUGGAGAUGGUCAGAUUUAACUUGAAUGAUAAGAACAAAUGAUCAGAAAUUUGGAGAUGAGUUGAAGAGCAGGUAGAUGGGGAUACACCAGAGCAGCACACCAGAUCAAAUAUAUGACCCUUGGAAUGUGUUUGGAAAUGUAUGUGCUGUUGAAAAUGAAAACUGUCCAGGUGUGAUGUGAAAUCUAUUGUCAAUAAAUGAUUUGUAUUGUC